rnacentral:rRNA from 1 species
AGCGAACGUUUGCGGCGGGCUUAACACAUGCAAGUCGAACGAGAAUCCCUUCGGGGAGGAAAGUGGCGCACGGGUGCGUAACACGUGGAUAACCAACCCAUUGGUUUGGGACAACACCGGGAAACUGGUGCUAAUACCAGAUGUGUCGCAGCUGUCUUCAGGCGGUUGCGAGAAAGGCCCGCAAGGGUCGCCAACGGACGGGUCCGCGUCCCAUCAGCUAGUUGGUGAGGUAAUGGCUCACCAAGGCAAAGACGGGUAGCUGGUCUGAGAGGAUGAUCAGCCACACUGGAACUGAGACACGGUCCAGACUCCUACGGGAGGCAGCAGUGGGGAAUAUUGCGCAAUGGGCGAAAGCCUGACGCAGCCACGCCGCGUGAGCGAUGAAGGUCUUCGGAUCGUAAAGCUCUGUGGGGGAGAAGAAGAAAGACCGGU